rnacentral:rRNA from 1 species
AGAUUGAACGCUGGCGGCAUGCCUUACACAUGCAAGUCGAACGGCAGCGCGGGGCAACCUGGCGGCGAGUGGCGAACGGGUGAGUAAUAUAUCGGAACGUACCCUGGAGUGGGGGAUAACGUAGCGAAAGUUACGCUAAUACCGCAUACGAUCUAAGGAUGAAAGUGGGGGAUUCGCAAGAACCUCAUGCUCCUGGAGCGGCCGAUAUCUGAUUAGCUAGUUGGUGGGUAAAGGCCUACCAAGGCAUCGAUCAGUAGCUGGUCUGAGAGGACGACCAGCCACACUGGAACUGAGACACGGUCCAGACUCCUACGGGAGGCAGCAGUGGGGAAUUUUGGACAAUGGGCGAAAGCCUGAUCCAGCAAUGCCGCGUGAGUGAAGAAGGCCUUCGGUUGUAAAGCUCUUUGUCAGGAAGAAACGGUGAGAGCUAAUAUCUCUUGCUAAUGACGGUACCUGAAGAAUAAGCAACCGCUAACACGUAGCCACG